rnacentral:rRNA from 1 species
UACCUGCAGCUCAAGUGGUGAUCAUUAUUAUUGGGCCUAAAACGUCCGUAGCCGGUUUAGUAAAUGCCUGGGUAAAUCGUGUAGCUUAACUAUACGACUUCCGGGUAGACUGCUAAACUUGAGACCGGGAGAAGCUAGAGGUACUCCUGGGGUAGAGGUGAAAUUCUGUAAUCCUAGGGGGACCACCAGUGGCGAAGGCGUCUAGCUAGAACGGGUCUGACGGUGAGGGACGAAGCCCUGGGGCACAAACCGGAUUAGAUACCCGGGUAGUCCAGGGUGUAAACGCUGCUUGCUUGAUGUUAGUUGGGCUCCGAGCCCAACUAGUGUCGGAGAGAAGCUGUUAAGCAAGCUGCCUGGGAAGUACGGCCGCAAGGCUGAAACUUAAAGGAAUUGGCGGGGGAGCACCACAAGGGGUGAAGCUUGCGGUUU